GGAUAUAGCUCACUUGAUAGAGUGCUUGCCUUACAUGCACAUGGCCCUGGGUUCGAUCCCCAGCACCA
rnacentral:tRNA from 1 species